GGGUAGAGAUGAUAGUAAUUGGACACCAGGAAACCUUCCAUCCGAACCCCGUUUCAGGACAAGGUUCAUCAAGUUGUGUACGCCUUCAUGCUGCUUGAGGUUGUACUGUGAGAUCAUUCCGCAUACUGUGAUUUGGCCAUGCAGUUUCAUGUAUAGCAGCACGGCAUCAAGCAUCUUUCCACCGACAUUGUCGAAGUAGAUAUCGAUUCCCCCAGGGAAGCAUCUAAACAUUUAAGACAGAAAAAUGUCAACUCGAGCCAGCUUCAGAACAGGUACAUUUUUAAUAUUUUGUACAUCAGUAACUCAUUUGCUCAAUCAUCGUUAUUAUAUUUCUGGCUCACCUUUUCAAUGCUGCAUCCAGAUCCAACUCCUCCUUGUAGUUGAAAGCAUCAUCGAAUCCAAACUUGUUCUUCAGCAAAUCAACCUUUUUCAUGAACAUAACAGCAAGAGAGAAGUCUAAGUAAGAUAAAAUCCAUAAGAGACUAUUAAGACUGUAUUUUUAGCAUUUAUGUUUAGUGAAAUGAUGAGGGUACACAUUCAACACUGCCAUCAGUGUCUUGAGCAUUCUCAUAGUUGAGAUAUACAGCAGUAACAGCAUUCAUCAUAUCUCAGGUGCUUCUUUUAGAUCUUAUUCUAUUUUAGACGAGAGGAACAUGUGUUCCAUUUCAAACGCUUGUCUAGUCACUCAUUAUGAAACAAAAGUGAAAUUUGCAGAUGCCAAACAUGCUUGGUGAACCAUUAACAUCGACAUGAUUUUGUGCUUCUUUAAACACUAGACAUGUGGGAUGAUUACCUUCUCUUUGCUACCGGUGCUGCCAACAACAUAACAACCCAGCACCUUUGCAAACUGGCCAACAAGCUGACCAAUGGCUCCUGCCGCCGCCGAUAUGAAAACAAUCUCUCCUUUCUUAGGAGAGCAUACCUCGAAAAACCCAGCAAAGGCUGUCAUGCCUGGCAUACCUGGAAAGUACCGAUUUGCACAAAUUAGAUGAGUUUCAAGAUUUCCUGAAGCACAGGAGUAGGAGUGUAAACCUGUGGCAUAAUCUCAAGUGAUCUGAUUAAUUGAACGAAGGCAAAGCCCCUGAGAAAUGGAUUGACUUCUCAGAGGAGGCUUCUAUUUCAUUGAGAACUAAUCGAUUUACACAUUCAUUCAACACGAAAGACAGUUUCGCAGGGCUCUAGUUUUAAGGCAAUUCAACGAGGGCAUAUGGCUCUAUAACAAGGAAGAUCCCUACAAGUAAAAAUUCAAGGGAAGCACACCUUUUCCUUGCGUAGCUGGAGGCUGUUCGUACUUGAGAAUGAAAUAGACAGAACAAAGUAUCUUAACAAUCUGAUUCCCAUCAUUCUUAAACACUGAAAGACAUAACACACCAGAAGAUUAAAUAGCAUACCCAAAAGGCCGGUGUAGGAAGACAGGGGAACAUCAGAGUGUUCAAUUUUAACGCAAGUAUCUGGCGCAGUAAUUAGACUAUACUCCUCCCAUCCAGUGAUGCCCCAGACCAAGUCGCCUGUCUUGAAGUUUGGAUGCCCAGAUUCCAAAACUCUAGCUACUCCAUAUCCAUGAAUAGGCUGCUUCAAUAUGUUAAACACCUCAGAAUAUAAGUGCACAUCCGUUUAGCUAUCACGAAUAGACUUUGAGCUGACAAGAAGGGAUGAGUGUGCUUCCUUUGAAUUUUACUUGUCGAGUAAACUCAGUCGCAACUUUGAGUUUGAUGUAGACAUGCGAGGUCAUAACUUACUGUUGGCAUCAAUAUCGAAUCAAUGUGACGAGAGAGGUGGCGGUACUUACGGAGCCGAGAGGAGUGAAGUGCUUGAUGAGGUUGAGAUUGUAGGAAUCGCAAGCCAGGUACAAGUUCUUCACCGCAAUGGUCCCUGAAUCUUUGUCGGCCUUCAGUCUCUCCGAACUCGUCUUCACUUCCAAGUGGGUCUCUGUCAGGGAAUAUUGGACCUCCUCUCUGUAUAUUACCUGUUUGUUGCUCAUCACUUCCACUGAAGCAUUGGGACUCUCCUUCUCCAUUCUCUCUCUCUCUCUCUCUCUCUGUGAGAAACAUGGCCAAAUAGCGCUCGUGCAUUUAUUGGGAGAGGGAUAAUGAGAUAUGCUUACGUGUGCUCGUAUGUCAUCGGCACGAACGCUUACGCAUGCCGUUGUGUCAUCGGUGGAAAUAGUAUUUUACUCCUAGGGAACAAAAGCAGUUGAUCAAAGUGGCCAAUUGACUUCUACUCAUUAGAAACUUCUGUGAUUUGUGGUAAAACGUAAAGGAAUAUUUUACGUGGUAAACGAAGAAUUUAAAGAGAAAUCUGAAAGGGUUGUUAAUUGGACACUUUCUUUACGAGUCCUCUCUUCUUGUCCCUUUUCGUUAGUGCUGGAUCUUGUUUUCCACUUAGAUAAAGGUAAGUGUCUGUAAUUGACAGAUAAGUAUAUGAAAACCCUAAAGUUUAUUGUGAUCAAAGUGGCCAAUUGAAUUCUACUCAUUAGAAAAUUCUCUGAUUUGUGGUAAAACUUAAAGGAAUAUUUUACGUGGUAAACGAAGAAUUUAAAGAGAAAUCUGAAAGGGUUGUGCUGGCAUCGCCCGUAGCCACAAAAUUUUCCUUUCUCCGGCACAAGUUGUGGAAAUUUCCAAGCAAGUUGACGAGCCGUCUUCCAAGUUAAUGGGACGCUUGGCAAGCAAAAUCCAGUCUAAAAAUAAUGUAAUUUUUAAGGAGCAAAGCUGCACAUCGCCAGUUUUCCUUUUCCUCACAUUCUUCAUCUCCUUGACUUGAUUCGAGCGCAGUAGUGUGCAUUUGCAGUGGGGUGGUGAAAUCGUAAUCAUUGGUUGAAAAAAGCAAAUGAUGAAUGGAUGAGCUUAAAUUUCUUUUUAUUUAAAUUGAUCGUAUAUGAAUGGGUCUACAUAGACUUAACCGAGCCAACACCAAAAAGAGGACUACUUAAUUAGACUUACUCAUUUUUCAGUACAGAUCGAUACGAUCCAUGAUCACUUCUAAAACAAAGACACAACAAGCAAUCUUUGUUUUUGCGUCUUUGUUUUUGUCCAACUUUGAAAUACUCAUUUGACAUUUCGAGAUGUUGUGCCAUGAACGUUUCUCCGCUUUUGGACCGCUCCCAUAUAUGAUGAUGGAGGCUUGCUUCACAUCCGUCGUUCUUACUUCAUUUCACUAGUAGGCCUCUAUAUAAUUUGCAGUGUUCUGAUUACUUAAAAACCCACUUAUCAUAUUAUUUAUUUGAUUGGAUUGAUGUAAUUCUUUAAUUAGUCGUUGCUGUGCGUUUGGAUCGCCAACUCUCGAUACCAAGUAAAGCAAAAUCUAUAUAUGUUUUACCAUUCUUAAACUCACAAAUCUAUUUCUUUUUAUUUCUUUGAUUGAGUGACGUAAUAUUGAUUAUUUGUUAGAUUAAUUGGGUAAUUUUAUCCCUCUAUAUCAUUUGCCCCAACGUUUUGUAAUGGGAACGAUGAACGAUGUGACACCAAGUAAAGCAAAAUAAACUGGUCUUUCUCAUUCUAAUUUCAGAUUCAUUUCUCUCUCCAAUUUGAAAAUGUUAUUGCCGUUGUACUCUUAUUGCACUUCUUAAUUAACUCUUUUGAAUAUUUUGCAUUCCUUUCAAUUAUUGAUUUAACGCGAUCUUCAAUUGUUUUACGUUUUCAAUUAACGAAGAUCUAAUUCUAUGGUUUGCAUGAAAAAAUUCUUGUCUUUCUUUUUUCAACUUUUUAUAUUUCUUUUUUUUUUGGGGGGGGGGGGGGGGAAGAGUUCAUUUGAGUAAAUAAAAACUUACUGUCUAAUUCAUUUUCUUUGUGCUUUUCUUCUAUCUUUUUUAAAGCGCUAUGCUUGGUUAUUUACUUGAUGGAAAUGCUCUUAUUUGCAUGAACGCGAAAUCCCUCUUUCCCUUUUUCCUUCUUUCUUUUCAUUUCUGAAGGCGUCCAUUGUUUGCUGUUUUGUUGACAUUUCAACUCUGUUUUAUGACCCAAAAAAAACUCUGUUUUCUUUUUUCUUUUUUCCCUUUGCUUUGUCGAACUCCAAAUGUUACAGCAAGUGCACAUCCGUCUACUUCAACAGUUGAAUCAUAUUAUUUAUAUCUGUGUUUUUUCUCUGUGUUUAUCUUUUUAUUCUAUUUGUUAUUAUUAUAAAAUUUUUUCUAAUGAGUGUUUCUCAUUUAUGUUUGAUUGUCAAGAGAAAAAUAUCAAUUUCAGUCCUUCUCAUAUAGUUCUUUUUUUUAAAAUUAAACAAACAUAUUUAGUUGUUAAUACUAUUCAAAGUCAAACAACAAAUAUUCAAAUUAUGCGUAAGAAAAUAUUAAAUUGCAUGUUGAGUUUGAGUUGGUGCAAGAACUAUUAAGAAAUCCAUUUUCUUAUUGGGAUCAAGAUCCAACAGACCGUGUAGUUUUCUGGACUGGUUUGUUUGGCUUUUUCGGUUUGGUCAAAGGAGAUGUCUGGUUGUUUGACUCCUAUACGUAGCCACACAAGAGAGAAAGCCAUUAAAGAAAUGGAGGGGUGAAAAGGUCUUUGUCAGAGUAAAGAAAACAAAGUAAAAUAUAGUUUUUUUUUUUGGCUUUCACGGGGGCUCGGAUACACGAGAAUUUUGUGGUGUGAAUUUUAUAUCCAAGUUGAGUUGUAGCACUUACUAGUAAUUUAGGUGUGAGAAAUAUUUGAAUGUGUCUAUGAUUGUAACUUUGAUUCUCUAAUUAUAAUGAAUUAUUUACUACCAGUUUUCUCUGUGGAGAAAGUAUCGAUACUCGGAUCGAAUCACGUAAUUCAUUCAUGUCUUUUAUUUUUGUCAUUUAUUUAUCUAGUAAUUUCAUCUUGAUUUAAAUUGCAAAAUCUUGUUAAUUUCCUCAUUAAUUUUAAAAUGGGAAGUUUUGUGUCCAUACAUUUUAAAGAGAUUGUGUGGUCUUUAUACAUGCAAUGCACGUGACAUUCUACUAGUAAUUUGAAGAGGGAUAAUUACGACAAAAGUCUUAAACUUAUUGUUCGAAUGUCAAUUUAGUUCAAAUUUUUUUAAUUUAGCCAAUUUAAUCUUAAAUUUUUUGAUGAUUUGUCACUGUAAUCAUGCCGACCAGUUUUGGUCGAUAAUUGCUAACGUGGACAAAGAUGGUCUUACAUGGUAUAAUUGACGUUGAUGUAGAUAAUUUUUCUCUUUUUCAUGAUAUUUUCAUUUAUUUUUUAUUUUUAUUUUUUUCUUCCCUUGCUGGUUGUCAUGGCCAACAAUCAGCCAUAGUUGAGGGAUGGUAAGGGCAAGCCUCACCUAAGGCCCAUGAGAUCAGCCCUUGUGCGACCCUUGCUUAACGCUAGUUGCCAGCGAUUGCCAAGGCCCAACAACUGGCAAGCAAGAAGGAAAUAAAUAAAUAAAAAGAAAAAAUGAAAAUAAACUAUAGAUAUUUAAAAAAAAUGCAAAAAGUUGAUGACAUUAGUGUUGGUUGUGCCACAUUGCUGGCCAAAAUUAGUUGAAAGAACUAUAUUAGCAAAUCAUUAAAAGAUUUAUGAAUAAAUUGGCCAAAUUGAAGUAUUUAUGAUUAAAUUGGUAUCCGUAUAAUAUAUUUAACACUUUUUUUUUUUUUUGAAAUCUGUAUGGAUUAUGGCUCAAAGUUAGUUUCCACUAUUUUGAAAUUCGACCCACGAAUUACAAGUAAUCAUGCGCAAUAUUAAGCAAAGUCCAAAUCGGGCUCUUGUCAACAAGAUCAUGAGUAACGCAAGAAAUAUAUACUAACUUCUCAAAAAAUUUCUUUUUCUUAUUGAAGAUGAAGUCUAUGUUGAUGUCAGAAAAGUGCUCAUAGUUUCUUGCAUACAAAUAUUAUGUUGUUGAAUUUGGUCUGGUGUGCAUAGUUAGUGCGCUUAAUAUGUACGAAACUUGCAAGAGACACAAAGUGCACCGAGAGCCACAAUUCAAGAGAUUCGAGAGUUUAAGAAAAUUCCUCUCUUGCAAACGAUUUUUGUGGGUUCCUGCUGCAUUUAAAAAAAAAAAAAAACACUUAUAAGUGAGUAUGACUAACUGUAACUUUAUCAUCCUUGAUUAUUGUGGAUUUAUCUCUUUGAUCUCUCCUGGUAGACUAGGCAUAUAAUCAAACCACAUAAAUCUGUUAUUUUUUGGAUUUUAUCUAUGCAAUUUAUAUCUUAUUUUGGGUAUGCGUGUUUCAUAGAAAUCUUCUCGAUGGAAGAAUAUAUUUUCGCAAAAAAUCAUUUUCUAAGGAAAUUGCUUGUCUUUAGUUAUUUGAUGGGAUUCUUGAAGGCGAGACAAAAUUAUUUUCAAUGUUUAAACCUAACUUUAAGAAAUUAAAUGUUAUAAUUAUGGUUUGCUCUAGGGAUGUGCAUGGUCCGGGUGGGCGGUUCCCAACCUAGAACCGGGAACUGCCCGCUAAGGACCGGUUCCAAAAAAUUGGAACCGGGAUCCACCUGGGAACUGGACCGCCGGUCCGGUCCGGUUCCCGGGUAGAUCCAUGGAACCGAUUUUGACGCGAAACAAUUUUAGUUUUCAACAUAGAACGGUCGCGAAACAAUUUUUCGCGGCUGUGGCGGGUGGCAGUCAACGCGAGGGGGCGAACAGCAGCGGCGGAGGAGCAACGGCGGUGGCGUCGACGCUCAGGGAGGAAUUGAAAUGGCGAUAGGAUUAGGAGCAACCGAGGAAGAGACAAAGAGAGAGAGAGAACCAAAGACGAAGGGAGUGAGGCGAUGAGAUCUAAUAUAGGAUUUCUUUUAGUAAUUUUUUUUUGUAAUAUUAAAAAGGUUCCGAUCCGGUCCGGGUGGGCGGAUCCGCCCAUGGAACCGGGAACCGGACCGGUACCUACCGGUUCCGAAAAAUUGGAACUGAAAACCGGACUGGUUCCCUCAAGAACUGCCGGUUCUGGAUAGUUCCGGUCCAGUUUCGGGCGGUCCGGGCGAUUCUCGGGUAUUUUGCACACCCCUAGUUUGCUCCUAAUAUGCGAUACCAAAGUGAUAUCCAAAUCAUUGUCUAAAAUAUUACUAAUGUUUGGACUAUAAAAUUUUAUGGAUUUUUAUUAUCAAAAUAAUGCAACCUAAAAAAAGUACGCCCAAGAAGAAAAUGCAAAUAAUUAACAAAAUUAAUUGAUCAAUACUCCUUCGAACCAAAAAAAAAAAAAAUCAAUAAGUGCUCAUAAAAAUUUACGUGAAAAUAGAUUUCCAUUCCAAAAAAUUAAUCAAAGAGGGAUACACAAUAAAAAUUCAAACUGGAAAGAAAAAAAAAAAAGAAGAGGAAAAAGAAAAGUCAUCGUAAAAUUAAAGACAAGAACAUCCUAAAUUGACAUUUCCACGGACACCUCUUGUAUUAUCCUUCUAAAAUAUGUAUCAUACAGCCGAGUGACAAAUAACCAAAUAACAAUUUAGUCUACAGAGAUGCAACAAAUUGAGCAAUUGAAGCUAAUUCUAAUAUCAAUUUGAAGAGGAGAUGAAACAGUUUUGAGAGUUUGCUGUGAAGAAAAGAAAGGAUAGAGAGUGAAGACUAGUAGGGACAGAGGGAGAACAGGGGACGCUUGUAGAAAAUGAGUUUGAAAAAACCGAUUUCUUCUUUUUAGGAUAGAGAAGUCAUUUUCGUGGAUGUUGAGUAUUGUUUUUUUUUUCUUGCCUGAAAAGUUUUUUCAAUAGAUUGUCCAUUUUCAACAAAUCAAACGUGUUGACCUUUAGAAAAUCAUUUCAUGGAAGUCCUUUCCAUAAAAACAAUGACACCCUCCAAAUUGCUUCGAUUCUUCACAUUUUCACGCUAGUCAAAACAGUUCGAUCUUUCAAACCAGUUCAUUAAAAGGCGACGGCACGGUAAGGGAAGAUCCAUUUACAUCGACAUCUUAGAGAGGCACAGAAUGAAACUUUAUACCAAUACAGCAGAGAACAUAUCCUCCGGAAGAAUAACAGAGCAAUCGCACCCAAAAGUGCAGUAAGCGGGAAACUACUGGCUUCUGUUUCCCCACCAUUGCUACCAGAAAACAACCCCAUGCCCCUUCUUAUACGAGACACGUUUGCACUCAAAUGUCCUUUGUAUCAUAGCGGCAAUGCAAUGACAAACGGAAAACAACUUUCAAAAGGACGAGGCAAAAUAAGACUAUGCCGAUGAAAAUAAGUACAGAAAGCUGAAUCAUUCGCGAGAAACCACGACCACCUGUUUCCCGAAGUUGCGACCAGAGAACACCCUGACAAGAGCUGAUGGACCAUUCUCGAGCCCUUCUGCGAUGUCUUCCAUGUACACAAUCUUCCCCUCUUUAAUCUGAGGCAAUGCCGUCUCGAGGAACUUCGGGUAGAGAUGAUAGUAAUCAGUUACCACGAAACCUUCCAUCCGAACCCGCUUCAGGAUAAGGUUCAUCAAGUUGUGUAUGCCUUCGGGCUGCUCAAGAUUGUACUGUGAGAUCAUUCCGCAUAAUGUGAUUCGGCCAUGAAGUUUCAUGUUGAGCAGCACGGCAUCAAGCAUCUUUCCGCCGACAUUGUCGAAGUAGAUAUCGAUCCCCUCAGGGAAGCAUCUAAACAUUCAAGACAGAAAAGUCAACUCUAGUCAGCUUUGGAAUGGGUACAUAUUGAAUAUUUUGUACAUAAGUAAUUUGCUCAAUCAUCGUUACUAUAUUCCUGGUUCACCUUUUCAGUGCUGCAUCCAGAUCCAGUUCCUCCUUGUAGUUGAAAGCAUCAUCGAAUCCAAACUUGUUCUUCAGUAAAUCAACUUUUUUUCCCAAACAUAACAGCAAGCGGACAUUUUAAGUAAAGAUAAAAUCGGGAAGAGACUAUUAAGCAAUUACUAUUCAAGGAAAAACUAGACAAAUGUGAGAUGAUUACCUUCUCUUUGCUACCGGCGCUGCCAACAACAUAACAACCAAACAACUUUGCAAACUGGCCGACAAGCUGACCCACAGCUCCCGACGCCGCCGAUAUGAAAACAGUAUCUCCUUUCUUGGGAGAGCAUACCUCGAAAAACCCAGCAUAAGCCGUCAUACUUGGCAUACCUGGAAAGUUUGGAUUUAUACAAAUUAGACAAGUUUCAAGAUUUGCUGAAGCAUAGGAGUGUAGUGCCAUGGCAAAUCUCAAAUGAUCCGAUUUAAUUGACCGAAGGUGAUGGCCCUGACAAAUGGAUGAGAAACAAUCAAUUUACACGCUUCUCUCAACACGAAAGAGCUGUACAGUGCUCCAUUGUUGAGAUAAUUCAACGAGGGCAUACGGCACUUAAACAAGGAAGAUCCGCCCAAGUAAAAUUCAAAGGAAGCACGCUUUUUCCUUGCAUAGCUGGAGGCUGUCCGUACUUGAGAACCAAACAGACAGAACAAAGUAUCUUAACGAUUCGAUGCUCCUCAUUAUUUAACACUGAAAGAGAUAUCGCACCAGAUGAUUAAAGAGCAUACCUAGAAGACCGGUGUAGUAAGACAGAGGAACAUCGGUGUGUUCGAUCUUAAAGCAAGUCUCUGGCGUAGUAAUUAGACUAUACUCCUCCCAUCUGGUGAUGCCCCAAACCAAGUCGCCUUUCUUGAAGUUUGGGUGCCCAGAUUCCAAAACUCUAGCUACCCCAUAUCCAGGAACAGGCUGCAUCAUGGUUUUAGAUUCUUCAGAAUAUAAGUGGAACUACAAAUAGCAAACUCGAAUAGACUUUGAGCGUACAAGAAGGAAAGAGUAUGCUUCCUUUGACUCUACUUGUUGAAUGUAAUUGUCACAAAUUUGAGUUUGGUUUAUGGGUGCGAGUUCAUAAAUUACUGUUAGCAUCAUGUGUCGAGUAAACGUGACGAGAGAGAUGGCGGUACUUACAGAGCCGAGCUGAGUGGAGAACUUGAUGAGGUGGAGAUUGUAGGGAUCGCAGGCCAGGUACAAGUUCUUCACCACGAUGGCCCCCGAAUCCUUGUCGGCCUUCGGUCUCUCCGAGCUCGUCCUCACUUCCAAGUGGGUCUCUUUCAGGGAACCUUGUACCUUCUCUCUGUAAAUCACCUGUUUGUUCCUCAUAACUUCCGCUGAAGCGUUGUUGUUCUCCUUCUCCAUUCUCUCUCUCUCUCUCUCUCUCUCUCUCUCUCUCUGGAUUUGAUCGGUGAGACGCAUGGCCAAAUACUUUAUAGGGAAGAUGGGUGAUAAAAGAUGGGUGAUGAAAUAUGCAGUCGCCGGUGACGUGUGCCCGUGUGUCAUCCGUGGAAUAGUAUUCCAAUUGGGAGACCAUUUCAAAGAAAUGGGCAACCGGUUGAAAUCUAAACAAUAUAUUAUUAUAUUUGCUAAUCUUAAUUAAUUCAACAAGGAAACUAGAUAAAAAAAAAAAACAAUACAUACGAUGAAAUGAAGGUUUUGUUUUCUUAUUUUAUUUAAGGAAUAAUAUUACCAUCGUUCCUUUAUUUUUAUCAAAAAAAUCAAAAUCAAAAUCAUCCUUCUUUCUUUUAUUAUUAUUUUUUAAAAACGUCUCUCGAGUUUUUAGAAAAUGUCAAUGUACAGUCCUUCCAUUAUAAUUUUUCCCUUACUCGUCGAUUUUUGUUGACAUGGAUUAGAGAAUUAAUAAUAUAGAUGCUAGUGAAUACAUGUGUCACACUGAAAUACAUAUGUCAUGUCAUGAUUUUUUGAAAUUUAUUAUAAGUCAAAAAGGCACCACAUUAAUAUAUAUAUAUAUAUAUAUAUAUAUAUAUAUAUAUAUAUAUAUAUAAAACCAAAAUUGAGAGAGAAAAACAGAUGGAGGAUCAUCAUCGUAGCCAGAAGCUCAAGCUCUAAGCUUGUAGCAACCAUGGUCACAGUGGCCACAACCACUAGAGUUUCGAAUUGUGAAUUUUGAGAGCAUGGCUACUCGAGAAAAGCUCAUGGUCAUGGUGGCUCAAUUGGUGGUCGUAAAUGGUUACAAAUCAUAGUUUUUGUGUUUAUUAUGGAUGUUUUGUAGGUUUUCUUCAAGUUUAUCGUUUAUGUUAUUUUAUUUUUAUUAUACUCAAAUUUAAGAAAUUUUACUUCGAGGGAUUAAAGGAAAUCCCGAUAACUAAGAUUUCAUUCCAAAUUUCCCAAAGAAACAAGAUGACCCAUUUAUCUUGUUCCCUCUACUUAUACUAUUAACUUAUUCGCUCUUUCAAUGAACAUUUUAUAGCACUUUAUGCUUCAUAUUUGAUGAAGUGGCAUGUCACAUAAUGCUUAAGCAUGUAUAAAUUACUUCACCUUUCACCUGCCCUUAAAACCUACCUUAACACUUUUUCUUUGGAAGAAGUACAUCCCAGGUGUCAAAGCUUGACUCAAAAGGACACUUAAAUUCCAAAAAUUAGGAAAGUGAUACUUAAGUGUCAUCUCUGGUAAACCCGCCGAAAAUCUUACGUGAUAAUUUUUUAUUAUUUUUCUUGCCUACAUGGCUUGUCAAAGAGUUGACUUAGCAAAGAAAUGCAAAAACGACGUCGUUUUAAUGUGAAUUUGAAUUUGAAUAUAAAAUUUAAUUAAAUUAAACUAUAAAAAUUAAUUAAAAAUAAAUAAAAAAUUUUUAAAAAAGGGAGGGAUGAAGAAGGUGGCUGAGGGCUGAGCCCUCUGCCACUGCCUCCCUAUCGUCGCAGGGAAGGGCUAGCGAAGGUGGGGGGAGGGUUGGCUAGGGCCCAACGACCCUGGUUGAUCAAUGACGAGGGCUUGCGAGCCCUCGCCUAGAUCUGGGGUGAGGGUCGCAACCCUCCCCCAAAUCUGACAAGGGUAGGCGACUCUCGCUUGAAUAGGCCAAGGGCCGCUGCUAGCUAGGGGCGCCCCAACGGGCAACCAUUGUUUGCUGUUUUGUUGAAAUCCAAAUGUUACAAUAAGUGCACAUCCGUCUACUUCAAUAAUUGAAUCAUAUUAUUUAUAUUUGUAUUUUUUCUUUGUGUUUAUCUUUAUAUUCUAUUUGUUAUUAUUAUAUAAUUUUUUCAACUGAGUGUUUCUUAUUUAUGUUUGAUUGUCAAGAGAAAAAUAUCAUUUCAGUCCUUCUCAUAUAGUUCUUUAUUUAAAAUUAAACAAAUAUAUUUAGUUGUUAAUACCAUUCAAAGUCAAACAAAAAUAUUCAAAUUAUGCGUAAGAAAAUAUUAAAUUGUAUCUUGCGUUUGAGUUGGUGAAAGAAAUAUUAAGAAAUCCAUUUUCUUAUUGGGAUCAGGAUCCAUCAGACCAUGUAGUUUUCUGGACUGGUUUGUUUGGCUUUUUCGGUUUGGUCAAAGGAGACGUCUGGUUGUUUGACUCCUACACGCAGCGACACAAGAGAGAAAGCCAUUAAAGAAAUGGAGGGGGUGAAAGGGUCUUUGUCAGAGUAAGAAAACAAAGUAAAAUAUAGUUUUUUUUUUCUUUCACGAGGGCUCAGGUACACAAGAAUUUUGUUGUGUGACUUUUAUAUCCAAGUCGAGUUGUCGCACUUACUAAUAAUUUAGGUGUGGGAAAUAUUAGAGCAUGUUCAUGAUCGUAACUUUGAUUCUCCGAUUUUAUAAUGAAUUAUUUACUGUUGAUUCUUCUUGUGAAGAAAGUACUGAUACUCAAACCGAAUCAUCUAAUUCAUUCAUGUCUUUUAUUUUUCUUGUUUAUUUCUUUGGUAAUUUCACAUUGAUUUAAAUUGCAAAAUCUUGUUAGUUUCCUCAUUAAUUUUACAAUGGGAAGUUUGCUGUCUAUACAUUUUAAGAGAUUGCGUGGUCUUUAUACAUGCAAUGCACGUAACAUUCUACUAGCAAUUUGAAUACGGAUCAUUACUAGAAAAGUCUUAAACUUAUUAUUCAAAUGGCAAUUUAGUUCAAAACUUUUUAAUUUAGCCAAAUUAAUCCUAAUUUUUUUUGACAAUUUGUCAAUGUAAUCAUACCGACCAAUUUUGGUCGGUAAUUGCUGACGUGGACAAAAAUUGUCUUAUGUGGCAUAGUCGAUACUGAUGUAAAGAACUUUUUUUUGUGAUAUUUUAAUUUUUUUAAUUUUCUUUUUCCCCCCUCUUCCUUUGCCGGUUGCCAUGGCCAAUAAUCAGCCAUAGUCGAGGGCUGGUGAGGGCAAGCCUCACAUGAGGCCCAUGAGAUCAGCCCUUGUUCGACCCUUGCUUGUCGCUUGCUAGCAAUUGCCAAGGCCUGACAACUGGCAAGCAAGAAGGAAAUAAAAAAAGAAAGAAAAUAAAAAAGGAAAAAUUCAAAUAAAGUAUAUAUAUUUAGAAAAAUAUAAAAAAUGCAAAAAGUUGAUUACAUUAGUGUUGGCUAUGCCACAUUACUGGCCAAAAUUAGCUAGAAGAAUUAUAUUAGCAAAUCAUCAAAAAAAAAAUUAUGAAUAAAUUGGCUAAAUUGAAGUAUUUAUGAUUGAAUUGGUAUCCGUAUAAUAUAUUUAACAUUUUUUUUUGGAAAUUUGUAUGGAUUAUGGCUCAAAGUUAGUUCCUACUAUUUCUAAAUUUGACCCACGGAUUACAAGUAAUCAUGCUCAAUAUUAAGGAAAGUCCAAAUCGGACUCUUGUCAACAAGAUCAUGAAUAACAAGAUCAUGAGUAACGCAAAAAAUAUAUAUUAACUUCUCAAAAAAUUUCUUUUUUCUUAUUGAAGAUGAAGUCUAUGUUGAUGUACUUACCAAAAAAAAAAGAGUCUAUGUUGAUGUCUGAAAAGUGCUCAUAGUUUCUUGCAUACAAAUAUUAUGUUGUUGAAUUUGGUUGGGUGUGCAUAGUUAGUGCGCUUAGUAUGUACGACACUUGCAAGAGACACAAAGUGCACCAAGAACCACAAUCCAAGAGAUUCGAGAGUAUAAGAAAAUUCCUCUUUUGCAAACGAUUUUUGUGGGUUCCUCCUGAAUUAAAAAAAAAAAAACUUAUAAGUGAGUAUGACUGAGUAAUUGUAACUUUAUCCUCCUUGAUUAUUGUGGAGUUAUCUUGUUGAUUUCUCAUGUUAGAUUUGACAUAUAAUCAAAUCAUGUAAAUCUGUUAUUUUUCGAUUUUAUCUAUGAAAUUUAUAUCUUAAUUAGGGUAUGCGUGUUUCAUAGAAAUCUUCUCGAUGGAAGAAUAUAUUUUUGCAAAAAUCAUUUUCUAAGGAAAUAGCUUGUCAUUAGUUAUUUGAUGGUGUUCUUGAAGGCGAGACAUAAUUAUUUUUGAUGUUUUAAACCUAACUUUAAUAAAUUAAGCUCAAUGUUAUAAUUAUGGUUUGCUCCUAAUAUGAGAUACUAAAGUGAUAUCCAAAUCAUUGUCUAAAAUAUUACUAAUGUUUGGAAGAUAAUUUUAUGGAUUUUUAUUAUCAAAAUAAUGCAACCUGAAAAAGGACGCCCAAGAAGAAAAUGCAAAUAAUUAACAAACUUAAUCUAUCAGUACUCUUUCGAAUACCAACAAAAAAAAAAAAAAAAAUCAAUCAGUGCUCAUAAAACUUUACGUGAAAAUAGAUCUCCAUUCCAAAAAAUUAAUCAAAGAGGGAUACACAAUAAAAGUCCAAUCUGGAAAAGAAAAAAAAAAGGAAAAAGAAGAGUCAUCAUAAAAUUAAAGACAAAAACAUCCUAAAUUGGCAUUUCCACGGACACUUCAUGUAUCAUCCUUCUAAAAUAUGCAUCAUACAGCCGAGUGACGAAUAACCAAAUAACAAUUUAGUCUGACAGAGAUGCAACAAAUUGAGCAAUUGAAGCUAAUUCUAGUACCAAUCUGAAGAGGAGAUGAAACAGUUUUGAGAGUUUGCUGUGAAGAAAAGAAAGGAUGGAGAGUGAAGACUAGUAGGGACAGAGGGAGAACAGAGCACGCUUGUAGAAAAUGAGUCUGAAAAAACCGAUUUCUUCUUUUUAGGAUAGAGAAGUCAAUUUCCUGGAUGUUGAGUAUUGUUUUUUUUUUCUUGCCUGAAAAGUUUUUUCAAUAGAUUAUCCACUUUCAACAAAUCAAACGUAUUGAUCUUUAAAAAAUCAUUUCAUGGAAGUCCUUUCCUUAAAAACAAUGACACCCUCCAAAUUGCUUUGAUUCUUCACAUUUUCGCGCUAGUCAAAACAGUUUGAUCUUUCAAACCAGUUCAUUUAAAGGCGACGGCACGGUAAAGGAAGAUCCAUUUACAUCGACAUCUUAGAGAGUAAUAGAAUGAAAUUUUAUACCAAUAGAUUCAGCAGAGAAGAUAUCCUCCGAAAGAAUAACAGAGCAUUCGCACCCAAAAGUGCAGUAAGCGGGAAACUACUAGCUUCUGUUUCCCCACCAUUGCAACCAGAAAACAACCCCAUGCCCCUUCUUAUACAAGACACAUUUCCACUCAAAUGUACUUUGUAUCAUAGCGGCAAUGUAAUGACAAACGGAAAACAACUCCUUUCGAAAGCACGAGGCAAAAUGAGACUAUGUUGAUGAAAAAAAGUACAGAAAGCUUACUCAUUUGCGAGAAACCACGACCACCUGUUUCCCGAUGUUGCGACCGGAGAACACCCCAACAAGAGCUGCUGGACCAUUCUCGAGCCCUUCCGCGAUGUCUUCCGUGUAUGCAAUCUUCCCCUCUCUGAUCUGAGGCAAUACCAUCUCCAGGAACUUCGGGUAGAGAUGAUAGAAAUCGGACACCGAGAAACCUUCCAUCCGAACCCGCUUCCAGAUAAGGUUUAUCAAGUUGUGUACGCCUUCGUGCUGCUCGAGGUUGUACUGUGAGAUCAUUCCGCAUACUGUGAUUCGGCCAUGAAGUUUCAUAUUGGGCAGCACGGCAUCAAGCAUCUUUCCGCCGACAUUUUCGAAGUAGAUAUCGAUCCCCUCAGGGAAGCAUCUAAACAUUCAAGACAGAAAAAAGUCAACUCUAGUCGGCUUUGGAAUGGGUACAUAUUGAAUAUUUUGCACAUAAGUAAUGUGCUCAAUCAUCGUUACUUUAUUCUUGAUUCACCUUUUCAGUGCUGCAUCCAGAUCCAGUUCCUCCUUGUAGUUGAAAGCAUCAUCGAAUCCAAACUUGUUCUUCAGCAAAUCAACCUUUUUCCCAAACAUAACAGCAAGCGAGUAUUUUAAGUAAAGAUAAAAUCGGGAAGAGACUAUUAAGCAAUUACUAUCCAAGGAAAAACUAGACAAAUGUGAGAUGAUUACCUUCUCUUUUCUACCGGCGCUGCCAACAACAUAACAACCAAACAACUUUGCAAACUGGCCGACAAGCUGACCAACAGCUCCUGAUGCCGCCGAUAUGAAAACAGUAUCUCCUUUCUUGGGAGAGCAUACCUCGAAAAACCCAGCAUAAGCCGUCAUACCUGGCAUACCUGGAAAGUUUGGAUUUAUACAAAUUAGACGAGUUUCAAGAUUUGCUUAAGCAUAGGAGGAGGAGUGUAAUGCCAUGGCAAAUCUCAAAUGAUCCGAUUUAAUUGACCGAAGGUGAUGCCCCUGACAAAUGGAUGAGAAACAAUCAAUUUACACGCUUCUCUCAACACGAAAGAGCUGUACAGUGCUCCAUUGUUGAGAUAACUCAACGAGGGCAUAUGGCGCUUAAACAAGGAAGAUCCCCCCCAAGUAAAAUUCAAAGGAAGCACGCUUUUUCCUUGCAUAGCUGGAGGCUGUCCGUACUUGAGAACCAAACAGACAGAACAAAGUAUCUUAACGAUUCAAUGCUCCUCAUUAUUUAACUCUGAAAGAGAUAUCGCACCAAAUGAUUAAAGAGCAUACCCAGAAGGCCGGUGUAGUAAGACAGAGGAACAUCGGUGUGUUCGAUCUUAAAGCAAGUCUCUGGCACAGUAAUUAGACUAUACUCCUCCCAUCUAGUGAUGCCCCAAACCAAGUCGCCUUUCUUGAAGUUUGGAUGCCCAGAUUCCAAAACUCUAGCUACUCCAUAUCCACGAACAGGCUGCAUCGUUGUGUUAGAUUCUUCAGAAUAUAAGCGCAACUACAAUUAGCAAACUCGAAUAGACUUUGAGCGAACAAGAAGGAAAGAGUAUGCUUCCUUUGAAUCUUACUUGUUGAAUGUAAUUGUCACAAAUUUGAGUUUGGUUUAUGCAUGCGAGUUCAUAACUUACUGUUAGCAUCAUGUGUCGAGUAAAUGUAACAAGAGAGAUGGCGGUACUUACAGAGCCGAGCUGAGUGGAGAACCUGAUGAGGUUGAGAUUGUAGGGAUCGCAGGCCAGGUACAAGUUCUUCACCAUGAUGGCCCCCGAAUCCUUGUCGGCCUUCGGUCUCUCCGAGCUCGUCCUCACUUCCAAGUGGGUCUCCUUCAGGGAACCUUGUACCUUCUCUCUGUAUAUCACCUGUUUGUUGCUCAUAACUUCCACUGAAGCAUUGCUGUUCUCCUUCUCCAUUCUCUCUCUCUCUCUCUCUCUCUCUCUCUCUNNNNNNNNNNNNNNNNNNNNNNNNNNNNNNNNNNNNNNNNNNNNNNNNNNNNNNNNNNNNNNNNNNNNNNNNNNNNNNNNNNNNNNNNNNNNNNNNNNNNNNNNNNNNNNNNNNNNNNNNNNNNNNNNNNNNNNNNNNNNNNNNNNNNNNNNNNNNNNNNNNNNNNNNNNNNNNNNNNNNNNNNNNNNNNNNNNNNNNNNNNNNNNNNNNNNNNNNNNNNUAAACAAUAUAUUAUUAUAUUUGCUAAUCUUAGUUAAUUCAACAAGGAAACUAGAUAAUAAAAAAAAAAAAAAACGAUAGAUGCGAUGAAAUGAAGGUUUUGUUUUCUUAUUUUAUUUAAGGAAUAAUAUAACCAUCGUUCCUUUAUUUUUGUCCGAAAAUCAAAAUCAAAAUCAUCCUUCUUUCUUUCUCUUUAAGAAAGAAAAAAAAAACGUCCCUCUACUUUUUAGAAAAUGUUGACGUGCGGUCCUUCCAUUGUAAUGUUUCCCUUACUGAUCGAUUUUUGUUGACAUGGAUUCAAAAUUAAUGAUAUAGACGCUAGUGAAUAUACGUGUCACCCUGAAAUAUAUGUCAUGUCAUGAUUUAUUGAAAAUUAUUAUAAGUAAAAAAGGCACCACAUCAAAUAAUAUUAAACAACAGAAAAACCAAAGUUGAGAGAGAGAAAGAGAUGGAGGAUCAUCGUCGUAGCCUUGAGCUCAAGCUCUAAGCUUGCAACAACCAUGGUCGCGACGGCCACAACCACUAGAGUUUCAAAUUGUGAAGCUCGAGAUCAUGGCUGCUCAAGAUAAGCUCACGGUCAUGUUGGCUCAAUUGGUGGUCGUAAAUGGUUACAAAUCAUAGCUUUUGUAUUAUUAUGGAUGUUUUGUGGGUUUUCUUCAAGUUUAUCAUUUCUAUUAUUUUAUUUUUAUUAUACUCAAAUUUAAGAAAUUUUACUUUGAGGGAUUAAAGGAAAUCCGAGAUUUCACUCCAAAUUUCCCAAAGAAAUAGGAUGAACAAUUUAUCUUGUUCCCUUUACUUGUACUAUUAACUUAUUUGUUAUUUCAAAGAACUUUUUAUAACACUUUAUGCUUCAUAUUUGAUGAAGUGGCACGUCACAUAAUGCUCAAGCAUGUAUAAAUUACUCCACCUUUCACCUGCCCUUAAAACCUACCUUAAUACUUUUUCUUUAAAAAAAGUACACCCCAAGUGUUAAAAUUUGGCAUAAAAUGACAUUUUAGUGCCAAAAAUUAAGAAAAUGCCAUUUUUUGAAAUGUGAGAUUGCCAUCUACGAUUAACCUUGCCAGCAAUCCUACAUGGCAAUUUUUUAUUAUUUUUCUUGCCUACAUGGCUCACCGGAGAGCAGACUCAAUAAAGAAACGCAAAAAUGACAUCAUUUUGACGCGGAUUUGAAUUUUAAUAUAAAAUUUAAUUUAAUGAAUCUAUAAAUAAAUUAUAUAUAUAUAUAUAUAUAUAUAUAUAUAUAUAAGGGGGUGAAAAGAAGAAGGUAGCUGAAGGUUGAGCCCUUACUGCCGCCUUCUCCCUGCCGUCACUUGGAACAGCCAACAAAAGUGGGAGUAGGGUUGGCUGGGAUCGCCGGGCCUUGGCUAGGGGUUAGCGACCCCGACUGACCCUUGCCCAAAUCUUUUGCAAGGGUCGCCACCCUUCCCCAGAUCUGGCGAGAGUCUAUAGCUCUCACAUGCAUAUACGGCGAGGGUCACCGNNNNNNNNNNNNNNNNNNNNNNNNNNNNNNNNNNNNNNNNNNNNNNNNNNNNNNNNNNNNNNNNNNNNNNNNNNNNNNNNNNNNNNNNNNNNNNNNNNNNAAAGGAUAGGAAUUUGCUAAACAUUCUCUUUAUAUUUCAAGAACCAUAAUUCUCUAGAAAUCUACAUGGAAGAAAAGGAAGUGCCAGAUACCUGGAGUGUCAAAACUUGGCACAGGGGGAUACUGAAGUGCCAAAAUUGGAGCAAAAUUGAUCACUUAGGGCGCGUUUGAUUGUGUUUCUGUUUAAAAAUUGUUCCAGGGAACAGAAAUAGAAAAAAGUAUUUCUGUUCCGGGGAACAAUUUUUGAACAAAAAUACGCGUUUGGUAAACUUGUUCCGGGAAUAAAAAAUAAACAGAAACAUGUUUGGUAAAUUUGGAUAAUUUUUUUAUUUCUUUUAUUUUUUCUAUUUUUUUCUUAUUUUUCCUUUUUUUCUUUUUUCUUUUUCAUUUUUUUUUUCUUCUUUUGGCCGGUCGCCGGCCAAGGCCUUGGCCGGCGACCGGCCAAAAGAAGAAAAAAAAAAUGAAAAAGAAAAAAGAAAAAAAGGAAAAAUAAGAAAAAAAUAGAAAAAAUAAAAGAAAUAAAAAAAUUAUCCAAAUUUACCAAACAUGUUUCUGUUUAUUUUUUAUUCCCGGAACAAGUUUACCAAACGCGUAUUUUUGUUCAAAAAUUGUUCCCCGGAACAGAAAUACUUUUUUCUAUUUCUGUUCCCUGGAACAAUUUUUAAACAGAAACACAAUCAAACGCGCCCUAAGUGAUCAAUUUUGCUCCAAUUUUGGCACUUCAGUAUCCCCCUGUGCCAAGUUUUGACACUCCAGGUAUCUGGCACUUCUUUUUCUUUCAUGUAGAUUUCUAGAGAAUUAUGGUUCUUGAAAUAUAAAGAGAAUGUUUAGCAAAUUCCUAUCCUUUCCAGCAAUUAAAAAACCAUUUGCAUUUCUGAAAAUUACGUUAGAACUUUAGCUGAAGAAUUUUACCUUUUUUUUUGUCCUUUUUAGGAAGCUUUAGCCUUCUCUCUGACUCGUGAAGUGGAAAAACCGGAUCCGACCCCCAAAAAGAAAAAAUAAAAAGUGGAAAAACCGGCAACUCAAGUUUGUGGGUUACUCGAUUUAAAUUGUGCGAUGGAAGACAACCCAUCACUUGAUUGCGGAUAACGGUGCCGUUAUGCUCACUUUCCUCAUUCCAAUUCCAUUUCUCUCUUCAAUUUGUAAUUGUUAUUGUCGUUGUCCUCGGUGAAUUUUAAUUCUUACUUUUGCUUUUCCCUUGUUGAUAUAUUAUUCUGGACACUCUUCUCGCACUUCUUAAUUAACUCUUUUUGAAUUUUUGGCAUUCCUCUCAAUUAUUAAAUUAACUCUUUCUUCAAAAUUAUCAUACAUUUUCAAUUAACGAAAAUAUAUAUAUUUUUUGCAUGAAAAAAUUCUUGUCUUUUUUUCAAUUUUUGUUUUCUUUUGUUUGGAAGAGUUUAUUUGAGUAAAUAUAAUAUUAGCUACUUCAAACUUUAAAUUUGAUUACUUACUGUCCAAUUCAUUUUCUUCAUGCAUUUUUUCUGUCUCAUUUGAAGUGCUAUACUUGCUUUUUAUAUUCUUCUUCUUUCUUUCCUUUCUUUUCUAUACUUGAUUUUAUAAACUAAAGGGACUCGGUCAAACCCCAAAUGUUACACUAAUCAAAUAAUUUAUAUUUGUGUGUUUUCACUGUGUUGAUCUUUUCCUAUGUUCUAUUUGUUAUUAUUAUAUAUUUCUUUUCUAAUUAUUAUAUUUUUUUUUUCUAAUGAGUGUUUCUCAUUCGCAUAUGAUUAUCACAAGAAAAAAAAAUCAAUUUCAUUCCUUCUCAUAAGAGUCAAACAAUAAAUAUUCAAACCGUGUUUAAGGAAAUGUUAGAUUAUAUCUCGACUUGGGAACCAUGUGAGGAAUAUCAAGAAAUAUAUUUUCUUAUUGGGUUCGGAUUCAUCGGACGAUGUAGUUUGCUCGAUUGGCUUCCGACGAAGGAGCCACAAGGUUAUUGGCUUAUUCAGUUUUGGUCAAAGAAGAUGUGUGGUUGUUUGACUCCUAUGCGCAGCCGCACGACAGUGAGAGCCACUACAGGACAAAAUAAAGGGGUCGCAUAUUCUCUAAUUAUAUAUUUAUUUCGGGGGUAAAAAGAUUUUUGUCUGAGGAAACAGCCCGUGGGCUCUCGAGCAGAACGUAGACUUUGGGGGUGUUUGGUUCAGCUUUCCCAAGGGGCUUUGAGCCUCGAAAGCCCCUUGGGAAAAAUUAGAGGGUGUUUGGUUCGGCUUUCAAAUGCUCCUUGGUGAAAUGUUUGCCUUUGGAAUGCUGAAUGCCGAAUGCUGGGGGGGACCAGCUUUGAGCAUUGGGCAUUCUGGAGAUGCGAUAUUACUGUUCAUCGCGUCACUGUUCAUCGUCUCCUCCGCCGUUCGCCUUCUUCUUCGCCAUUCAUCUUCUUCUUUGCCAAAGGCAGCGCUCAGCCGCGAUCUGGCCGUCGAGAAGCCUCGCCUGAGGUCGCACAACCUUAGGCGAGGUGGCCUGAGGUCGGGCAACCUCAGGCGGCGUCGCCUGGUCUCGCGCUAGCCAGGCGACCAGGCGAGGCCAGAUCUGGCCAUUUGACGGCCAGAUCUGGCCCCUGCGACCUCCGGCGGCCAGAUCUGGUGGUUCGGCGACGGCCAGAUCUGGCCGUCCGGCGGUGGCUGGCGGUUGGCCGACAGUAGCCGACCGUCGGAAUUUCAUUUCAGACUUUAAAGAAAAUAAAAAAUAACAAAAGCUAAUUACAAAUGUAAAGUUUGCCAAACGGUGUUUAUGCUAAGUUGCAUUUCCAUGCUAAAAUUUACCAAACGGUGUAACAUUUCCGAAAGCCCCUUUCUCUCAAAGAUAUUUGCAUUUUCCCAAUGACAUUUCCCCAAAGCCGAACCAAAUGGGCCCCGCGCGAGGGAACGCUUCGAACGAGCAUCGGACACACGUGAAUUUUGUGCUUUGUUUUAUAUUCAAAUUGGGACGUAAGACUCAUGUAUAUUCUGGGUGUGGAAAAUAUUGAAACCUGUUCACGAUUGUAAUUCUAAUUUUUCAAUGAUAGUAGAUUAUCAGCUACUACCAACUCUCCCAAUACAGUAUGUACCUAGAUUUUUGACCGAAUAUUGUAAAGUUUAUGGUGUUUUUAAUUGUUCAUUGUUUUAUUUAUCUAGUGAUUUCGAGUUAAUUUAAAUUGUAAUAUCUUGUUAGUUUCUGUAUUAAUUUUACUAUGGAAAGUUCGGUGUCUAUACAUUACCCUUGACAUUCUACUUGUAAUCUAAAAAUGAAUAAUUACUAUAAAUUUUUAAACCUAUUAUUUGGAUAUCAAUUCAGUCAUUAAUUUUUUAAUUUAAUUAAUUUAGUUUUAAAUCUUUUGAUGAAUUGACAAUUUACUUAUUCCACCUAUAAUCGCUAACAUGGACAAAAUCAAACGUAUUGAUCUUUAAAAAAUCAUUUCAUGGAAGUCCUUUCCUUAAAAACAAUGACACCCUCCAGAUUGCUUUGGUUCUUCACAUUUUCGCGCUAGUCAAAACAGUGAUCUUUCAAACCAGUUCAUUUAAAGGCCACGGCACGGUAAAGGAAGAUCCAUUUACAUCGACGUCUUAGAGAGUAAUAGAAUGAAAUUUUAUACCAAUAGAUUCAGCAGAGAACAUGUCCUCCGAAAGAAUAACAGAGCAUUCGCACCCAAAAGUGCAGUAAGCGGGAAACUACUAGCUUCUGUUUCCCCACCAUUGCUACCAGAAAACAACCCCAUGCCCCUUCUUAUACGAGACACAUUUGCACUCAAAUGUCCUUUGUGUCAUAGCGGCAAUGCAAAGAGAAACGGAAAACGACUUUCAAAACCACGAGACAAGAUAAGACUAGGUCGAUGAAAAAAAAUGUACAGAAAGCUAAAUCAUUCGCGAGAAACCACGACCACUUGUUUCCCGAUGCUGCGACCAGAGAACACCCCGACAAGAGCUGCUGGACCGUUCUCGAGCCCUUCCGCGAUGUCUUCCAUGUACACAAUCUUCCCCUCUUUAAUCUGAGGCAAUACCGUCUCGAGGAACUUCGGGUAGAGAUGAUAGUAAUCAAACAUUGCAAAACCUUCCAUCCGAACCUGCUUCCAGAUAAGGUGCAUCAAGUUGUGUACGCCUUCGUGCUGCUCGAGGUUGUAUUGUGAGAUCAUUCCGCAUACUGUGAUUCGGCCAUGAGGUUUCAUGUUGAGCAGCACGGCAUCAAGCAUCUUUCCACCGACAUUUUCAAAGUAGAU
rnacentral:lncRNA from 1 species